ensembl:lncRNA
AUGUGUGCUGCUGAGAAGGAUGUACAGGGGCACCUGCAGCCAAAUCCAAGUCUCCUCAGCAACUUCAGGUCUGUCAGCGUGCUGAGGUCACAGAAAGAAGAAAAGCAGCUUCAGACUUCAGAGUGUUGUUUACAGUUUUCUGUCAUCAUGAUCUCCCCUGAAGUUUAUCAAGCAGUAAGUCCACAGUACUGUAAUGAUGAUUCUGACUUUGGUCAUGGUUGCAUAAUAUUUUAAUAAUAUACAAUUAUUUUUUGUAAUUCAUAUUUUUUCUGUUAAUCAAAAAUUUACUUUGUGAAAUUUGUAUUUGAGAAUGCAGAAUGUGACAAUAUAUUUUUGUUCAAUAUUUAAUUUCUUUCAGUUGCAAUUGUUAAAUCAAAAAUAAAUAAAAUAUAUUCUAAUUUAGCAAACUAAUUUAUCAAAAUAUAUAUACAUAUAUCUGUAUUAGUUUUUAUACAUUAAUUUGACACCUGUAUUGAAAAUACCAUAUUGUAUUCAUACAGAAUCAGUUUGGUAUCAUUGUUUGUCUGAUUGCUGAAACUAAGAGCUAGUUUUGAUCUAAAGUAUCCAAAGUUGAGCUCUAAUGUUUCUUCACCCUUGUGUGUGUGAUAUGUGAUUUCCUACAUGCUGACAGAGCAGAGCAGCAGUUUGUGCUCACAGAUGGUGACGGUGUGGAGAGACGGUGGUGUUUCCUCAGAAGAACUAGCAGAGUCACCAAGGACACGAGUCCAUCUCACCACCUUGACUUGUUGAUCAGUGGAUACACUUGUCUCCCCUUUAAAGGAGAUACUCUUAGAGAGAGACGAUCUGAGUCAUCCUUAAAUGUUAGUGCUUUCAAAUACACAAACAUUUUUAAAGGACAAAAACGAACAUCCAACUUUGACUGUAAUACAAUUAAAUCUUUGCAUGUAUGUUUUCAAACUCUCAGAUGGGCAGGAUAUCAGUCUUGGACUGUCUAACCUGCCGGAGCAGCACUGAAUGAUCACCACACAUGAUCAGUUCCUGCAACAUUCAGCAGCUCUGCUUUUGGUAAGUAGAGUUACCUAAACACAUGCCAUCCAUUUCUAACGGCCUGGUUACUUCCUGUCAGUUAUUUUAGAAACCAUGUGGUCACCUGACCUAACACUGUUUCUUCUUCUUCCCCUUAAUGUUGACGUGUCAAAUGUCCAACAGCUGGAGAGGAAACUACACCAGUGUACUGGGAUGUUUCAGCAACACGUGCCAGAUCCUGUUCCUUCAUGGUGACAUCACCAGCGACGGCCCCGCCCACCUCAGGACCUCGCCAUUGAUCAUGAUGAUUUUAAUGAUGACAGCGAGCGGAACUAAGACUGUAAAAAUCAGAAUGUUUAGAUGCUUUCUAAUUAUUAAUGAAUACUGAGAGCCUCUUUCUGUGUUUUGUCUGUUUUGUUUUGUUUUGUUUUACCUCAUUUGUUACUAACAAAGUUCACCAAACUCAGUUUACAUUCUGUAUGUUUCCAUCUUUACCAGCCACACUCUACCCGCAAUUAAGAAAAUAAUCCUUAGAAAUCGUAGUUUUUCUCUUUUGUAAUUGAUGAUAAUUCAGUGAAUAUACUGCGCUGCUUCCUUUAAUUGCGUCUCACAUUGCUUUAAGUUUUUCCAGUGUCCAGUUAUUUUUUACUGUUGUUUGAAUUCUCUGUAUGUUUGACCCUGUAGACUGUUUAAUGGACUGCUUGUCUUCCUGUUUGUAACCGACGCCUGUUUUUGACUAAAGAUUUGGAUUUCUGACUUUAACACAGCCUCUGCGUGUCCUCCCUUUGUGUCCUCUUCCUCUGUGAAUGUGUUGCAUGUGUCACAGAUUCAUUUAUUAACAGCUUUCCCA